rnacentral:rRNA from 1 species
GCUGGCGGCAGGCCUAACACAUGCAAGUCGAACGGAGUUAUAUUGUAGCUUGCUAUGGUAUAACUUAGUGGCAGACGGGUGAGUAAUGUAUAGGAAUCUACCUAGUAGUACGGAAUAAUUGUUGGAAACGGCAACUAAUACCGUAUACGCCCUACGGGGGAAAAAUUUAUUGCUAUUAGAUGAGCCUAUAUUAGAUUAGCUAGUUGGUGGAGUAAUAGCCUACCAAGGCAAUGAUCUAUAGCUGAUCUGAGAGGAUGAUCAGCCACACUGGAACUGAGAUACGGUCCAGACUCCUACGGGAGGCAGCAGUGGGGAAUAUUGGACAAUGGGCGAAAGCCUGAUCCAGCCAUGCCGCAUGAGUGAAGAAGGCCUUUGGGUUGUAAAGCUCUUUUAGUGAGGAAGAUAAUGACGGUACUCACAGAAGAAGUCCUGGCUAACUCCGUGCCAGCAGCCGCGGUAAUACGGAGAGGGCUAGCGUUAUUCGGAAUUAUUGGGCGUAAAGGGCGCGUAGGCGGAUUAGUAAGUUAAAAGUGAAAUCCCAAGGCUCAACCUUGGAAUUGCUUUUAAAACUGCUAAUCUAGAGAUUGAAAGAGGAUAGAGGAAUUCCUAGUGUAGAGGUGAAAUUCGUAAAUAUUAGGAGGAACACCAGUGGCGAAGGCGUCUAUCUGGUUCAAAUCUGACGCUGAGGCGCGAAGGCGUGGGGAGCAAACAGGAUUAGAUACCCUGGUAGUCCACGCUGUAAACGAUGAAUGUUAAAUAUGGGAAGUUUUACUUUCUGUAUUACAGCUAACGCGUUAAACAUUCCGCCUGGGGACUACGGUCGCAAGAUUAAACUCAAAGGAAUUGACGGGGACCCGCACA